rnacentral:tRNA from 1 species
AGGGUUAGCAAGACUUUAACCUACAUAAUCUGAAUGCAACUCAAACACUUUUAUUAAGAUAAAACCCC